CAAGAUGGGCAGAGUGUAGCCGUCAGCAAUGGCGGAGGAAAGUCCGGACUGCGUGGGACAGCAUACCGGCUAAUGACCGGGCGGGGCGACCCGACGAUUAGAGCAACAGUGACGAAUCGAUUCAGUUCGAGUGAAACGGGCAAUCUCUAUGCGCAGCAACUUCAAAUAGGUUCCCUAUGACGAGUCCCAGGGGCGGGAACGGGUAGAAGGCUUGAUGCAUUGUGGUAACACAGUGUACAGAUUGAUUACACUCGCUACCUUUAUCUGGUGCAAAUGCACUGGGCAUUGGCAGGCACAGAAUCCGGCUUAUCGCGCAUCUGCAAAA
rnacentral:RNase_P_RNA from 1 species